GCCGCGCUGUGCGAGGCCCAGACUGAGGGCGAAACAGCAGGCAGGACUGGGUGGAGACGUUCGGGGACGUGGCAACUGGAGUUUCUUCUCCGUAUAUUUCGGCAUUCAGUUCCUUUUUUUUUUUGUUUUAACUCAGGAAAAAAUCUCAAUUGCGUUUAGUAUUUUGAAAGCCACUUUAUUGCUUCCCGAGCCUCAGUCAUGUGUGGUGGGAGGCUGCUGUGGGUGGCACCUGGGGCGUCCACGGCCGCCAAGGCGGGAGGACGUCAGGCCCUGCUUGCUCCCACCCCUUCCAGGUGAGAGCUCCCGGGCACGCCCGUCGUUGGCUCUUCGUCCUCUUGGUGUUCUUCCCUGUUGCUUCAAAUCAGGUUCCUGUCUCAAAAAUCCGAAAAAGAAAUCCUCCCAAAUGACUCUGUGCCCGACGCUCCGUUAAGGCAUCGUGCUAGGCGUUCUCAAACUCGUGAAAUGACUACACUGCACAGGAAGACCAAACAGAGACAGAGUUCUGGUUAAAUCACACAAGUCCCUGGCAUGAGACCAAGAAGUCACAGAGCCCAGGUCUUAGCCCUCAGAGUGUGAGAGAAGACAUGAAGGCAUCAGGGACACUGUGCGAGUGGGCACUGCUGCUUUCCACUGCUCUCCCUAGACUGCAGCCAGGAGGCUGCCUCUGCCCUGCCAGGCGCACACACCAAGAAAGGCCAUGUGGGCACACAGCAAGAUGGUGCCUGUCUGCAAACUAGGAAAAGAGCCCUCACCAGGAACUGAAACAGCUGGCACCUUGAUGUUGGACUUUCCAGCCUCCACAACUGUGAGAGGUAAGUUUCUGUUGUUUAAACCACCUAGUCUAUGAUAUUUUGUUAUGGCAGCCCAAGCAAACACCAACAUUUGCCAAUUUUGAUUUAUUUUUUACAUAUAUGAUGUAAAAAGUAAUCUUUACAAAGUAUCAUAUGUCUCAUUAUUUCAUGCAGAAAUUGGUGACCAAAUCAAGGGGAAAAAUAAAGAGAUCCCAAAUAAUACAUGCAAAUUAAAUGGUUUCUUUAUA